UGACGCUGGCGGCAUGCUCACACAUUAAGUCGAACGGUAACAGGCCGCUGGGAUCCCUUCGGGGUGACCUUGUGCGCUGACGAGUGGCGGACGGGUGAGUAACGCGUAGGAAUCUGCCUGGCAGCGGGGGACAACUCCGGGAAACCGGAGCUAAUACCGCAUACGCCCUACGGGGGAAAGACGGGGAUCUUCGGACCUGUCACUGCCAGAUGAGCCUGCGUCGGAUUAGCUUGUUGGUGGGGUAACGGCCUACCAAGGCGACGAUCUGUAGCUGGUCUGAGAGGAUGACCAGUCACACUGGGACUGAGACACGGCCCAGACUCCUACGGGAGGCAGCAGUGGGGAAUAUUGGACAAUGGGCGCAAGCCUGAUCCAGCAAUGCCGCGUGUGUGAAGAAGGCCUUCGGGUUGUAAAGCACUUUCAAUCGGGAAGAACAGCAUUCGGAUAAUAACCCGGAUGUCUUGACGGUAACGA
rnacentral:rRNA from 1 species